ACGCUAUCACUCCUACGGGAGGCAGCAGUAGGGAAUAUUGGACAAUGGGCGCAAGCCUGAUCCAGCCAUGCCGCGUGAGUGAAGAAGGCCCUCGGGUUGUAAAGCUCUUUUGUUGGGGAAGAAAAGCCUUGGGUUAAUACCCCGGGGUCCUGACGUACCCAAAGAAUAAGCACCGGCUAACUUCGUGCCAGCAGCCGCGGUAAUACGAAGGGUGCAAGCGUUACUCGGAAUUACUGGGCGUAAAGCGUGCGUAGGUGGUUCGUUAAGUCUGAUGUGAAAGCCCUGGGCUCAACCUGGGAAUUGCAUUGGAUACUGGCGGGCUAGAGUGCGGUAGAGGGUAGUGGAAUUCCCGGUGUAGCAGUGAAAUGCGUAGAGAUCGGGAGGAACAUCUGUGGCGAAGGCGACUGCCUGGACCAGCACUGACACUGAGGCACGAAAGCGUGGGGAGCAAACAGGAUUAGAUACCCUGGUAG
rnacentral:rRNA from 1 species